rnacentral:rRNA from 1 species
AGGACGAACGCUGGCGGCGUGCUUAACACAUGCAAGUGGAGCGACGAACCAGGGCUUGCCCUGGGGCAGAGCCGCGAACGGGUGAGUAACACGUGGGUUACCUGCCUCAAUGACCGGGACAACCCGAGGAAAACUCGGGCUAAUACCGGAUGUGCCCGCAAGGGGAAAGGAAGCUUCGGCCUCCGCAUUGAGAUGGGCCCGCGGCCCAUUAGCUUGUUGGUGAGGUAACGGCUCACCAAGGCUUCGAUGGGUAGCUGGUCUGAGAGGACGAUCAGCCACACUGGGACUGAGACACGGCCCAGACUCCUACGGGAGGCAGCAGUGGGGAAUCUUGCGCAAUGCGCGAAAGCGUGACGCAGCAACGCCGCGUGGGGGAAGAAGGCUUUCGGGUUGUAAACCCCUUUCAGUUGGGACGAAGCUUCGGCGGUUAAUAGCUGUCUGGAGUGACGGUACCUUCACAAGAAGCACCGGCUAACUACGCGCCAGCAGCCGCGGU